rnacentral:tRNA from 2 species
GUCCCCAUCGUCUAGAGGCCUAGGACACCAGGUUUUCAUCCUGGUAACACGAGUUCGAAUCUCGUUGGGGACGCCA